UCCCCGGCCGCUCCCGCUUAAUCUCCCUCCACCCACCGGUUGCCCGGCCAACAAGCCAGACAAGCAGGUGAUCCAUUGACAGGGAGCAGAUGGUCUCCCGCCGAGUUACAUCUUCAGCUGCUCAGGUUCCAAUCUGAGCCUUGAAAAGCACAUGGAAUUUAGGAAGAAUUGUGAAAGUGUGUCGCUCUUCCAACUUCCUCUUUCAGCUCUAUAUACAUUUAAAGAUGUGUGGAAAGGUAACCAUCUUCAUCACCAUGGCAUGAUGAAGAGACCAGUAGCCUUCCAGAGAUGCUUGCUGGGUGCCUGCACUAUGGUCUUUUAGAUCCCAGCCAAUUUUAGAAGAGGACAGGUGCAGCCAGUGAGAACCAAUCUACUUGCGCAUAUGAUGUUCCAAAAAUGCCACCACCAAGUUCUGUCUCCAGUGGGGAAGAGAUGGUUGGAAUGGGAGCACUGGCAUAUCCUCACCUACCUAUCAACCUGGAGACCACCUGUGUACACAUUAAGGAGAAAGCAGGAGACACUGAAACUGCUAUAGACUAAACACAGACAGAAAUGUAGAAUGUCUCGAUUCAGCCAGGAUACAAAGCAGUACAACUUCAUUAUUUUUAGAGGCUGAAGCCAUUCAAAAAAUUUCUGUAGGCCAUCCUCAACUGUAAGUAGCCAAUCACCUUUGAGAGGUAAACAGAUUGUUGUAAGAAUAUUAAACGACUAAACAACAACAACUACAAGCCUUUUCCCCAGAUUGGGGUGCAAGGCAGCUUGCAGAUAGAAUGGAAACAGCUAAAAUACAAAACCAUUGAUUGAUCAGGUAUUUAACUAAUAUUGAUGUAUUGUGUUCUUAUGCCUCAUUCACAAGUCCAGUCACAUAGAAGGAAGCCCCAUGAACUUUGGUACAACAUAGACACACAACUUACUGUCCAUCCUACAGGUACACAUAUUGGCACACAAAUCAGCACCUGCUGGUGGGGUGGCGUGGCAUUACUUUCCCAGUUUCCCAAUGUGGAAGUUGCUGCCAGUAACCGAGAUGGGGAGUCAAGGUGGCAAGGAGAUUGGCAUGGUGCUGGCAUAGUGGCAGAGUCAAGCUGACACUCCUAAUGCUGUGCUGAAACUGUACUGACCUCCCCACAGCCUUACCCCUCUCAGUUACUGGCAGUGACCUCUGUUUUGGUAUGCCAGGUAAACAGGCUCAUCCCACUGUGCUCCAUUGGUCACUAUCAAUGCAGAUAAAAGUGUGCUUCUGUGUUCAUCACUGACUAGGGGGCUAAUAUAUCCCCUUUUGGCAAGGGCCAGAGCGCAGAUAAUCACAAAAGGUUGUACUACCAAGCAUAAAGUGUGUAGGCUAAAAUACCAUAUAAGGUGAGCUGCUUUUAUAUGGGUUUUUAAUACAUACAAAACUAGAACACUAGAUAGCCAUUGCCAGUCAGUGUAGGCAGUAUUCAGCUAGAUGGACCAAUGAUCUGACUGCAUAUGGCAGCUUACUAUGUUCCUAAAUUCUAGUUCUGCUUCAGACUCAGAUCAGAAUUUUUGUCCAAGGAAUAUGAGCUCCCACUUUAAGGGGUUUUCUGUGAGCCAGAAGGAUGCAGCCUCUACCUAAACAUUUAAGGCUGAAGGUCCACUAACAAUUGCCAGCUGACGACCCCCUAACACUUUUCCCAAGCAUUUCUUAAUUUUGUCAUACACAACUCCCUAACCACAUCAUUUCCUUAACUGCAUUUUUAAACAGACUUAUGUGCGUAAAAAUCCCACAUGUUCCCUCGUUUUUAGUAUGUGUAUGUUCUUUCAGAUAUAGAAGUACAUGUGCAGAGUACAUUAUCUCUAGGUUUUUUUUUGAAGCUUCUCUAGUGCUUUCCUCAGUCACGAGCAGUGCUUUUUUUCUGGGGGUACGCAGGGGUACGCAUACCCCUAAACAUUUUGUGAAUCUAAGUUUGGCCUCAUUGAGGGGCAGUAUUUCAAUAUGAGUAGGAAAAUGAGAGUACCACUAAACAUUUUUUUAGAACAAAAGCACUGGUCACGAGGAAUGACUCUUUUUCUGCCUUGAGCUCGUCUCCCAUGCCUGCAAGAGUUUCUUCAAGAGCCAAGCCUGAAGCAAACUUCCUACCAACCCUUCUCUAAAGACUUUCUCUGGGAAGGAAGGUGCUUCUCCAGCGGUCUUCCAAACCACAAUCCGGAGAGCUUCAGUUACCAUGGCACUGCAAACAUUCUCCAUGCUCCACCAUAUUCUAUGAAAAAAUGCUCGGGGCAAACCCCUGUCUUUCGUGGAAAUUUGGCAUGACCGUCUCCUUCACUCCUGGCCUGUCCUUCCGCCGAUCUCGGCACAAAGAGGUUAAUAAAUGUUUACUUCGUCCCCCCUCCCCUUGCCCCCCCAUCCCCCCAAUGUUUCCAUAUGGCUUGUUCACAGGCUUGUGCUUGUUUGUGUCUGAAUGCCCACUUGCAUUGACUGGUGUGAGGGAAUUGUUCCACUCAUGCUGGCCAUCCUCAAAUCAAUGCCGGCCUCUAACAAGAGAAAGUGCCUCAGAUGUAGUGGUUUCCACAGGACCAUUGUUGGGCUUUUGUUAAGCAUUUUUGAACCUAAUAAAUAAUGUCAAAAGUUUCUUUCCUAGCCAAAAAUGUUCCUUUUGAAAACUCUUCUAGUAGUAUUUUUGUUCAGUGAUGGCUUCCAGUGUUGCAAAGAAUUUGCACUUUACAAUGGUAAUUUGAUGUAUCGCGUGCCAUGUUGCAAUAUGGAUUGUUUUUUAAAAAAAAUGCUGAAGUGUUGUCACUAGAUGGAAAUCCCUAUUUCUUUAACAUGUUCUCAAAUUGAGAGGUCCUUUCAGGCUAUAACGGUUUCAAAUGGGAUUAAAUAUCAUAAUCAAGAGCUGAAGUGAAGAAAUAAUUUUUUUUAA